CCUACGGGUGGCAGCAGUGGGGGAUAUUGCACAAUGGGGGAAACCCUGAUGCAGCGACGCCGCCUGUGGGAAGACGGUCUUCUGGAUUGUAAACCACUGUCCCCAGGGACGAAAAUGACGGUACCUGGGGAGGAAGCUCCGGCUAACUACGUGCCAGCAGCCGCGGUAAUACGUAGGGAGCAAGCGUUGUCCGGAAUUACUGGGGGUAAAGGGAGCGUAGGCGGGGAUGUAAGGUGGGUGUCAAAACUACCGGCUCAACCGAUAGUCGCACUCAAAACUGCAACUCUUGAGUGAAGUAGAGGCAGGCGGAAUUGCUAGUGUAGCGGUGAAAUGCGUAGAUAUUAGGAGGAACAACAGUGGCGACGGCGGCCUGCUGGGCUUUUACUGACGCUGAGGCUCGAAAGUGUGGGGAGCAAACAGGAUUAGAUACCCCUGUAGUC
rnacentral:rRNA from 1 species